AUUGAACGCUGGCGGCAUGCCUUACACAUGCAAGUCGAACGGUAACAGGUCUUCGGAUGCUGACGAGUGGCGAACGGGUGAGUAAUACAUCGGAACGUGCCCGAGAGUGGGGGAUAACGAGGCGAAAGCUUUGCUAAUACCGCAUACGAUCUCAGGAUGAAAGCAGGGGACCGCAAGGCCUUGCGCUCACGGAGCGGCCGAUGGCAGAUUAGGUAGUUGGUGGGAUAAAAGCUUACCAAGCCGACGAUCUGUAGCUGGUCUGAGAGGACGACCAGGCACACUGGGACGGAGACACGGCCCAGACUCCUACGGGAGGCAGCAGUGGGGAAUUUUGGACAAUGGGCGCAAGCCUGAUCCAGCCAUGCCGCGUGCAGGAUGAAGGCCUUCGGGUUGUAAACUGCUUUUGUACGGAACGAAAAGACUCUGGUUAAUACCUGGGGUCCAUGACGGUACCGUAAGAAUAAGCACCGGCUAACUACGUGCCAGCCGCCGCAGUAACAC
rnacentral:rRNA from 1 species